CUCUUGUACAUGCUACACCAAAACUCUUGAAAUCUUUCACCCCCAUUUUAGCUUCCAAGGUGAGGGUCAUCGUCAGGGUCAGGCCCUUCCUUGCACAUGAAACCUCAUCAAGAAACGGUGACCCCAGCCCUUCCUUGCACACGAAACCUCAUCAAGAAACGGCGACCCCAUUUCGUGCAUCUCCGUCCUCGACCAAGAUUUCGAGUCUCCGCAAGACGAGGUUGCCGUUUAUCUCAAAGACCCACUAACCAGCCGGAAUGAAUGCUACCAGUUGGAGUCGUUCUUUAGGUAAGAAGAUAACAACGUGGUCAGAUAUUCUGCAGAGAAGUUAGUCUCUUUGUUCCGGGGAUCUUCAGUGGAUGCAAUGCCACCGUGUUUGCUUAUGGGGCUACUGGAAGUGGGAAGACAUAUACUAUUCAGGGAACCGAUGAACAACCUGGCUUGAUGCCACUGGCAAUGUCCAUGAUCCUUUCUACUUGCCAAAGCACUGGCAGGACAGCACAUAUUUCAUACUAUAAAGUCUACAUGGACCGAUGCUACGACCUCUUGUUGGUUGCAGGCUGCAGCAGCUAUGUGUGUUGGAAUGGGCAGCUUCUCUGACCCGUAUGAAGCGCA